ACGAACGCUGGCGGCGUGCAUCACACAUGCAAGUCGCACGGAAAGGCCCUGCUUGCAGGGUACUCGAGUGGCGAACGGGUGAGUAACACGUGGGUGAUCUGCCCUGCACUUCGGGAUAAGCCUGGGAAACUGGGUCUAAUACCGGAUAGGAGCCAUUUUUAGUGUGAUGGUUGGAAAGUUUUUUCGGUGUAGGAUGAGCUCGCGGCCUAUCAGCUUGUUGGUGGGGUAAUGGCCUACCAAGGCGGCGACGGGUAGCCGGCCUGAGAGGGUGGACGGCCACAUUGGGACUGAGAUACGGCCCAGACUCCUACGGGAGGCAGCAGUGGGGAAUAUUGCACAAUGGGCGCAAGCCUGAUGCAGCGACGCCGCGUGGGGGAUGACGGCCUUCGGGUUGUAAACGCCUUUCGCUAGGGACGAAGCUUUUUGUGACGGUACCUAGAGAAGAAGCACCGGCUAACUACGUG
rnacentral:rRNA from 1 species